rnacentral:rRNA from 1 species
ACCCAGCACCUCAAGUGGUCAGGAUGAUUAUUGGGCCUAAAGCAUCCGUAGCCGGCUCUGUAAGUUUUCGGUUAAAUCUGUACGCUCAACGUACAGGCUGCCGGGAAUACUGCMKAGCUWGGGAGUGGGAGAGGUAGACGGUACUCGGUAGGAAGGGGUAAAAUCCUUUGAUCUAUUGAUGACCACCUGUGGCGAAGGCGGUCUACCASAACACGUCCGACGGUGAGGGAUGAAAGCUGGGGGAGCAAACCGGAUUAGAUACCCGGGUAGUCCCAGCUGUAAACUAUGCAAACUCAGUGAUGCAUUGGCUUGUGGCCAAUGCARUGCUGCAGGGAAGCCGUUAAGUUUGCCGCCUGGGAAGUACGUACKCAAGUWYGAAACUUWW